GGGAGGGAGUGAGGUCUCAUCCCCCUUCCCAGGCAGUGUGGGCCUUGAGCCUCAGGAGGGCCCAACAGAGCUGGACAGCCCAUCAGUCACUGGAGGUCGAGUGGCGCCGCACCAGGAGUUAGGGGCAGGGCCCACUUUUUCCGUUCGGCCUCCAUCUGCCAGGAGGGGCAGGGGCCCUAUGAAAAGAUUCAUCCCGAAGGCACAUCUCUGUCCAUACCAGGAGUAACUGCUGCUUCCCUGAUCAAAGCACUGGGCAAUUACAUUGCUUCCCUUCUAUUCUGUCACGGAAUCAGCCCAGAAACCCUGGAAACCCACAGCCAUGAACUCUCUGAGCCUGGUGCAUAAUAAAUGGUAGUCGUCAAUACGAAUGCAUAUGAAGUGCCUACUGUGUGCCAGGCCGUGUUAAGAGAAGUCUCUUACCCACUUCUAACCAGAUUGCCUGAAGCCAUUCUCCGGAUGGGAGCUAGCAGGUGCUGACUUCUUGCCCUGGGAAGGGAAGAACAUGGCUCUCUGCUUGGAUCUUCUCCUCCGAUGAGUCCUCAAGUUUCAUUCAUUUGACAAAUAUGAACUGGCACCCGCUAUGGACCGGACACUGAGAACACAAUAGUGAGGAAAUGGGAGUUAUCCUUGGGCUUGAAAAUGACAGCUCCAAGGAAAUGAGGUUGGGCCGGGGUACCAUCAAAGUCAGCAGCUCAGACCCUUUGUACAGGCAAAAAGAGGGAGCCAAGGAGAACUGGGUCUUGGGGGUUGCCUGAAACCCAAACAUGGGGCCCAUUUUUUAAAACAAUAAACUUAAAAAAAAUUUUUUUUAAUCUUUAUUUAUUUUUGAGAGAGAGACAGCUGUGA